GUCUAUGUAGUAUAUCAAUUACACUGGUCUUGUAAACCAGAAAAGGGGACUAACCUCCCCCAAAGACU
rnacentral:tRNA from 1 species